UAUUAGUCAAUGCUCGCAAGAGUGAACUAGCUAACUGAAAUCACAGGAUCCGUAAGUACGGUGAAUGUAAUAACGUAAGGGAAAAAAAUGAUAUUACCUUACUAUUAGUGUUGUCCAAAACUGGUGCCAGAAGACUCGGUAAGGCCAGAGACGCAAACGUUAGUCGUCCUAAUCAGGCGUAAAGGGUAAGUAGGCUGCUUUAAAAGUUUAUAAAUAUUUUAAUAAGCUCUGUUUUGUUUAAAUCAAUUAAAUAAACAGUAAAAUAUAAAUGAAUUAAAGCUAGGAUCAAAUUGAGGAUAAUUUAAAUAAUACUUAGUGUAGGGUUUAAAUCUGGUGAUACUAAGGGGAGUACUAACGGUGAAAGCUUUUUAUCUAGAAAUGAUUGACGCUGAGGAACGAAGGUGAGAAUAGGAAAUAGGAUUAGAUACCCAGAUACCUCUCACAGUCAACGAUGAAUGGUGGUUGUUAGUUAGUUUUAUUUAACUGAUAACGAUGUUAACACGAUAACCAUUCCGCCUUGCGAGUACGGUUGCAAAACUGAAACCAAAAAAAUUAGUCGGUCUCGAAGCAAACGAAGUGAAGCAUGUUAUUUAAUUC
rnacentral:rRNA from 1 species